UACGAAGGGGGCUAGCGUUGCCCGGAUUUAUUGGGCGUAAAGGGCGCGUAGGCGGCUUGGCAAGUGGAUGGUGAAAUCCCUCGGCUUAACCGAGGAACUGCCGUCCAAACUGCUUCGCUUGAGACCGGGAGAGGUGAGUGGAAUUCCCAGUGUAGCGGUGAAAUGCGUAGAUAUUGGGAGGAACACCAGUGGCGAAGGCGGCUCACUGGACCGGUACUGACGCUGAGGCGCGAAAGCGUGGGGAGCAAACGGG
rnacentral:rRNA from 1 species